CACCAACCAUUACCAUUAGAUUAAAAGUAAUCCAACGAUUGUAAAAUAAGACAUAAUCCCAACAGUUUUCUUCAAUCUUAAGGGCUUUACACUCGUUUCUACUGUUGUUACUAAGGGAGUUGCACUUAUUACUUUGUCUUUGUUAGAGGCCGAAUGCCUUCGUUGUGGCGUUUCUUGACUUUGGUGUCAUUUGCAGAAUUUUAUUGAAUUCCUUUUGCCUUUUUGGCUUCAAAACAAACACAUACAUUCACAUCAACCACAAACGUCUACGUCGGCAUGCUUAAAAUUUACUCACUUAACAAACUUUUAUUCUUCUAUAAAGCCGGUGUAUACGAUGCAGAGCCAACCACCUCUUUUUGUUUCCUUUCUUAAUUACGAGAAUUACUACCAGAUGGGGACGGAGAUUUUACGCCCUCAAGACUGUUUAGUCGAACGCAGGAGAGUAUGCCCGGUGGCCUUGCCUCGCCAUAAGCCUUACGCCAAUAACUCCAGAUCUUGCCAGAGACAAGCCAUCCAACCUGAACCUAGAAAACGCUUCCCUCAAGAAGAGCCCUUGAUUUCGAAGAAAUAGACCACAAGCUCUAGUGAUUCAAGACCGUCGUCCUCAUCGUCGAAGGGUUUGGUUGUGGGAUAUGUGAUCAUCUUAAAAUGCUACAAGACUCUUCAAUCCAAUAGAAGGAAUGAAUAUUUUGCUAACAAGACCAUAGUUCCGAGCGGGGAAGAGGAUAUGGGAUGUGAAUCUUCUACUCUGUUGUUAGGGGUUAGAGUUGGGACUGAGGAGUAGCCAUCUCGAGGUAGAGAGGGUGAGUGGCUGGUUCCAGACAACAUGAACAAAGGAUCUUCAGGUCUUGGCUUUAUAUAAUUUGUUUGCUUUUGGAUUUGAAAAUUCAUGUCUAGACUCUGGAGAGAGAGAGAGAGAUAGAGAGAGCUGCAACUGUUGUGGAUGGAGAUUGGAUAAGAGAGAGAGGAGACUGACGGACAAAUUGACGAUGAAGCUUUGAUUUGGAGUGGAUUUGGAUGAAUCUGCGGCAGUUUGCAAUUUGCAAUGCACCCGGGUUUGUAGAAAACAAGGAAACUGCCUCCGGUUUUUUGGUUUGGUUGGUUCAGCGCUUCACUUCCCUACUGUGGAACUGAAACUGGAACUUGCUUAUGCGUUCACGACACCGGUGGAAUUGGCGAGGCGUUGCCAGUGAACCGCAUGGGUGAGCUUUGGCUUCGUGGUCCCAACGUUAUGAAAGGUAAAAGGCAAAAAGGAUGAGAUCUCAUACCCAUCCACACCCACCGCCAGUGGCUUCUGCGUUCAGUGAGAUCGCCGAUCGCAGGUGGAUGCUUUUGGUAAAGGGGUUGGCGGAGGAAAGAAUGGGAGGAAGAAGAAUAUAAGGUGUAUUUUUUAAGUUUUUUUGUCUUUUUGUGUUCGGUUCAACUGGAUUCUUUAAUAAACGUCCGUUAAGUUAAUAAAUUUUAAAC